GGUUAAGCGACUAAGCGUACACGGUGGAUGCCCUGGCAGUCAGAGGCGAUGAAGGACGUGCUAAUCUGCGAUAAGCGUCGGUAAGGUGAUAUGAACCGUUAUAACCGGCGAUUUCCGAAUGGGGAAACCCAGUGUGUUUCGACACACUAUCAUUAACUGAAUCCAUAGGUUAAUGAGGCGAACCGGGGGAACUGAAACAUCUAAGUACCCCGAGGAAAAGAAAUCAACCGAGAUUCCCCCAGUAGCGGCGAGCGAACGGGGAGCAGCCCAGAGCCUGAAUCAGUGUGUGUGUUAGUGGAAGCGUCUGGAAAGGCGCGCGAUACAGGGUGACAGCCCCGUACACAAAAAUGCACAUGCUGUGAGCUCGAUGAGUAGGGCGGGACACGUGGUAUCCUGUCUGAAUAUGGGGGGACCAUCCUCCAAGGCUAAAUACUCCUGACUGACCGAUAGUGAACCAGUACCGUGAGGGAAAGGCGAAAAGAACCCCGGCGAGGGGAGUGAAAAAGAACCUGAAACCGUGUACGUACAAGCAGUGGGAGCACGCUUAGGCGUGUGACUGCGUACCUUUUGUAUAAUGGGUCAGCGACUUAUAUUCUGUAGCAAGGUUAACCGAAUAGGGGAGCCGAAGGGAAACCGAGUCUUAACUGGGCGUUAAGUUGCAGGGUAUAGACCCGAAACCCGGUGAUCUAGCCAUGGGCAGGUUGAAGGUUGGGUAACACUAACUGGAGGACCGAACCGACUAAUGUUGAAAAAUUAGCGGAUGACUUGUGGCUGGGGGUGAAAGGCCAAUCAAACCGGGAGAUAGCUGGUUCUCCCCGAAAGCUAUUUAGGUAGCGCCUCGUGAAUUCAUCUCCGGGGGUAGAGCACUGUUUCGGCAAGGGGGUCAUCCCGACUUACCAACCCGAUGCAAACUGCGAAUACCGGAGAAUGUUAUCACGGGAGACACACGGCGGGUGCUAACGUCCGUCGUGAAGAGGGAAACAACCCAGACCGCCAGCUAAGGUCCCAAAGUCAUGGUUAAGUGGGAAACGAUGUGGGAAGGCCCAGACAGCCAGGAUGUUGGCUUAGAAGCAGCCAUCAUUUAAAGAAAGCGUAAUAGCUCACUGGUCGAGUCGGCCUGCGCGGAAGAUGUAACGGGGCUAAACCAUGCACCGAAGCUGCGGCAGCGACGCUUAUGCGUUGUUGGGUAGGGGAGCGUUCUGUAAGCCUGCGAAGGUGUGCUGUGAGGCAUGCUGGAGGUAUCAGAAGUGCGAAUGCUGACAUAAGUAACGAUAAAGCGGGUGAAAAGCCCGCUCGCCGGAAGACCAAGGGUUCCUGUCCAACGUUAAUCGGGGCAGGGUGAGUCGACCCCUAAGGCGAGGCCGAAAGGCGUAGUCGAUGGGAAACAGGUUAAUAUUCCUGUACUUGGUGUUACUGCGAAGGGGGGACGGAGAAGGCUAUGUUGGCCGGGCGACGGUUGUCCCGGUUUAAGCGUGUAGGCUGGUUUUCCAGGCAAAUCCGGAAAAUCAAGGCUGAGGCGUGAUGACGAGGCACUACGGUGCUGAAGCAACAAAUGCCCUGCUUCCAGGAAAAGCCUCUAAGCAUCAGGUAACAUCAAAUCGUACCCCAAACCGACACAGGUGGUCAGGUAGAGAAUACCAAGGCGCUUGAGAGAACUCGGGUGAAGGAACUAGGCAAAAUGGUGCCGUAACUUCGGGAGAAGGCACGCUGAUAUGUAGGUGAGGUCCCUCGCGGAUGGAGCUGAAAUCAGUCGAAGAUACCAGCUGGCUGCAACUGUUUAUUAAAAACACAGCACUGUGCAAACACGAAAGUGGACGUAUACGGUGUGACGCCUGCCCGGUGCCGGAAGGUUAAUUGAUGGGGUUAGCGCAAGCGAAGCUCUUGAUCGAAGCCCCGGUAAACGGCGGCCGUAACUAUAACGGUCCUAAGGUAGCGAAAUUCCUUGUCGGGUAAGUUCCGACCUGCACGAAUGGCGUAAUGAUGGCCAGGCUGUCUCCACCCGAGACUCAGUGAAAUUGAACUCGCUGUGAAGAUGCAGUGUACCCGCGGCAAGACGGAAAGACCCCGUGAACCUUUACUAUAGCUUGACACUGAACAUUGAGCCUUGAUGUGUAGGAUAGGUGGGAGGCUUUGAAGUGUGGACGCCAGUCUGCAUGGAGCCGACCUUGAAAUACCACCCUUUAAUGUUUGAUGUUCUAACGUUGACCCGUAAUCCGGGUUGCGGACAGUGUCUGGUGGGUAGUUUGACUGGGGCGGUCUCCUCCUAAAGAGUAACGGAGGAGCACGAAGGUUGGCUAAUCCUGGUCGGACAUCAGGAGGUUAGUGCAAUGGCAUAAGCCAGCUUGACUGCGAGCGUGACGGCGCGAGCAGGUGCGAAAGCAGGUCAUAGUGAUCCGGUGGUUCUGAAUGGAAGGGCCAUCGCUCAACGGAUAAAAGGUACUCCGGGGAUAACAGGCUGAUACCGCCCAAGAGUUCAUAUCGACGGCGGUGUUUGGCACCUCGAUGUCGGCUCAUCACAUCCUGGGGCUGAAGUAGGUCCCAAGGGUAUGGCUGUUCGCCAUUUAAAGUGGUACGCGAGCUGGGUUUAGAACGUCGUGAGACAGUUCGGUCCCUAUCUGCCGUGGGCGCUGGAGAACUGAGGGGGGCUGCUCCUAGUACGAGAGGACCGGAGUGGACGCAUCACUGGUGUUCGGGUUGUCAUGCCAAUGGCACUGCCCGGUAGCUAAAUGCGGAAGAGAUAAGUGCUGAAAGCAUCUAAGCACGAAACUUGCCCCGAGAUGAGUUCUCCCUGACCCUUUAAGGGUCCUGAAGGAACGUUGAAGACGACGACGUUGAUAGGCCGGGUGUGUAAGCGCAGCGAUGCGUUGAGCUAACCGGUACUAAUGAACCGUGAGGCUUAACCUUAC
rnacentral:rRNA from 1 species